UGUGUCUGUGGCUCCCAAGGUCUGAGCCCAGUCUCUCUGCCAUGGGCUGUGCUGGGACAAGUGCCUGCCUCCACCUUGGCCCCGCUGGCGUCUCACUUCUCCAGUGCCCAGCCCUGCACAGGGGCUGACUUCAAAGUCCCCAAAGGAGACUACCUCUUCAAAGGAUGGCAAGCAUGACUUCAGAUACAGACAAAGCAACCCAGACGGAUGGCGGAGAGAGGGAGGCGAGGGAUGUGGGAAGAGAGAGGUUUUCCCAGAGAGCAAAAUGAACCCUUGAUGAAGCCUCUGGGAUUAAAGAGGUGGCUUAGUUCUGUCACAGCAUCCACCCUUCAACCCGUUUAAGCAGCAUGCCUUUUCCAACAAAUGAAGGGCAAAGAAGCACUGAUAAGCAAUAAAGAGAUAAGCAGCAAAGUACUCGUUUCACUGGUGUUUCCCAAUGAAAAAUGAAUCCUUGAGCACACCCAGUGAUUUGUUGUCUAAGUAGCAAAGCUCACCCAAGUUCCUGAUUUUGCUUCCAGCAGAGAUGCUCAUUGCUCAUUCUCACACCCUGGAGCAGCUCGGACUCAUUAUCCAGCACUGGCGCUUCCCUCCUGCACCUGUGAGCUCAUACACGGACAUAUCCAUUUUCUAUAUGCAUGUAUCCAUCCUUGCCUUAUGGCCCAUGCUGUGAUAUCCCUGCCAAAGCAUCCCGGAGCAGAUAUUCCUGGCUGCGGGCGCCUGCAUCUGCAGGGAAUUGUUCCUUUCAAGCUGCAGUGCAGAGACAAUGCUGUACAUGGUGCUUUGGGAAAAUAGCACGAUAAGAAUUUAGUUAUGGGAGUUAAAGGUCUUCCAAGGCUGCUUUUCAAAAAGGAUAACUUCUUAUCUCGAUGGGUGUUUCGGAGCAGGAGGCAUGAAGGAUCUAAUCCAGUGAAGUGGAAUGUCAGAGAGGGCAAAUUAAGUUUGCAUUUGGAUACAAACUCUCUUUUAGAGGCAAAUUUGGUUGUUGAAAAGAAAAUUAUUGUACACAUCUACACAGCAAAGGAAAUGGGUGGUGCUGGGGGGCCACUCCUCACAUCAGCAAGCUUUGACAUGGGUACAGGAGAGGAGCAGACCCUCCCAGUGCCCUCGGUUUCCCCUCUAGGAGUCAUUUGGAUGCUUCAGUUUGAAGAUCCCACAGCUCUUAUAACCCCAGCUCCCCUUCUAUGGCAGCCAGCUCAAGGUGCAGAAAACCCCAGUUCCUGGUAUCUCCUAAACACAGCAGCACAACAUGGUAUUACUGCCUGGGGUAGCUUUUGGUUUAGAUGAAUUAUUUCAAUAAGAAGGUCUUCAGACAGUGUUAAAUGACAGAUAAUAUAAUUUUUGAAUGUGAGGUUCAUCUGAAUUUUAUUUUCUGAUGUUUUGACUCAUUGACUUGAUGUCUCUCUAUUAUGCACACACCUCUGGAGAUGUUGCUGGCAAUGAUUAUGCAUAGCAUUGAGUUAGUGAAUAAAACCACUCCAGGAACUGCUUUACAGAUCACAGUAUUGUUUUCCCUAUAAUUGUCCCACAAAUGGUGGAAGUUAUAUGGAGGGAGCAACAUGCUCUGACAGACUGCAUAUUUUUGCAGUGUGCAUCAAAUCUCACUUUGGCCUCUGAGACUUAUUUCUGAUGGUUCUUGGGGAUUUAACUUUAAGACCAAUGUAUUUUAGUAUCCAUAUACGCUCCACUGUUCAUGUCAUCCGGCAGCAACUGAGGAUGAGCUGUCUCCUUAAUAUGGAUGAGACACCAAUUUAUCUAAGUUAUCACCUCCCAAUCUCUCAUACAUCUCUGCUGUUAACUGCUGUGUUUCUGACAUCCAUACCUAAACUCUCUACAACUUCUUCUCCUUCAAUUGAAACCAUAAGUAAUUUUUUGGCUGGAAGUUCUUGAUAUGUAUCUAAUGGCUUCUUCAUCUCCCGGCUUCACUUCAACCAGGAGGUGAUGGAAUCAGGCUCUGGACACUGCAUUUUACACCCACAACUCUGCAUAGAUCCACGCAGCACACUAAAUCAGGGUGUCUUUCCAGCAUUUGAAAAUAUAUGACUGAAUUACCAUGUGCCAGGCUCACGUUGAACAGCACUGCAGCCCCGUUGUGCACAGCCCCAGCAUUUGACUGCAGAGUCAGCAAUACUCUCUCCCUUCCUGAUGCAUUCCCAAGCCAGCAAAACUUAGCCCUACUCCUGGUAUUCUCUUUAUAGAAGGUCCCAGUGGUAUUAUGUAUCAAAUAAAGGUCUCAUUACUUAGA